CGUCUGCGCCGUACCACCGUCGACGCGUUUCCUGUCCGUCACGUCUCUAUGUUAUAUUACAGUGUUCGCUUUGACACGGACUUCCAGGGAACGUUCUGCACUCGGGCACGCUGGCACGUGUGUGCAUGCGUGCGUUUAUGGUGUCAUGACAAGGGCGUUCAUUGUUAUUACACACUACCGAAAGGCUUCAUUCAGACCGGUGGCACAAGCGUAACACACACCAAUCAGAUCACAGAGGGUAAAGGAGGAGAAACAGAGGGAGACGUUCAGGCCGCGGUCACAGCCGGACGGCGUACGAUGGGUCGGGAUUUAGACGAACUGGUUAGCAUACUGUACCCGGAUCUGUGUGUUUCGAACGUCGCGUUCCGCGUUCAACGAAAACACAGCGGCACAAUGAAAAAAAAAAUAAAUAAAUAAUCAAAUAAAAAUGCGUUUAAUGCUACGUCAGCUUAUUUCUUGGCUUGAAUGUGAUUCUUCGAGCUGACUGUGAUCAUUUUCAACGCAAACGUACAGGGGGAUGAAAAGCUUAGCUUAGCUGAACGGACCUUGACGCUAUUAUUGUGUGUCAGCUCACAGGAGACCGGAGCUCGUGCUUUCUGCUAGCGCUUUCCAUUAUUCUUCAGAUCAUUCACACAGGGUUUUACCGCUUAACGUUAAAAGCCUCUACGUAAUUGCUAUCGUAUGAUACGAUACGCUCUAGGCUAGCGAGAUCGUCUGUAACCCGAUAUACGAUCGUGCGCCCUUAGCUGAAACGUGUAAAGUACAUUCAGGGCUGUAAACAAACCAAACCUACAGUUAUUACCUGUAACCCAGCUCACUAUACAACCCGGAGUCGGUUACAUACACGACGCACGUAUGUGCUCUGAGCUGAACUGCACCUGAGACACUUAUCGAAUUCUUGUAGUGUAUAAGCGCAGUCCCUUAACAAACAAUCUUUGGUUUUCUUAAUGUUUUGCACGCAAGGGUAUUCCACGUGUGGUACGGAUUAAUCCGAUUGGCUGUACGGACAAGGGAAACUAAGCUUCAUGAGAGAAAGGCUCUCAUGAAGCUUACUUUUUUUCAAGAAACGUUCUUUUUCAAAUCGUCCUGCGGUUACAGACUUAUCGGCGAUUCCCGAUACGAUCUCUAUCCCUAUCAUGCCUAGGACAAUCACACUGACGUAUCAUGCGCGGUCAGCUAUAUCAUUGUUUAUUCGACGCUUUUGGGGAGUGAUGUAAAAGCCAAAAUUGUCGUGUAUGGGAAUACGUGCUUCUCAUGCACCUUUCCUGCUACCACAAACAGGCGUCUGCUUAGAAUUAAAGGCGUAAGACUAGUAUUUAAAAUAGCAGCGAUUUAGGGGUCCAACCAUGGAUUCUAGUGCUUGGACCCCUAAAUCGCUGCUAUUUUAAAUACUAGUCCAAAACAUGAUUCAUGGGAUUCAGUUAGAACAACAACAACAAUACUACUACUACUACUAAUAAUAAUAAUAAUAAUAAUAAUAAUAAUGCUGUGUGGGGUUUCCUCUGUUCUCCUGGGUCUCCAGUUUCUUCCCACCUCCCAAACGCAUGUGAAGGAGGAUUAUCUACUCUAAGCUGGCUGUGAUUUUUCUGUUACAGAUAAAAAUUACACAUAAGAACAUAAUUAUUUGGUCUUGGCUGAGAUCAGUGUGAUCUUACAACUCUGUGGUGACAUCUUGCUUUCAUUGAACUAGCAGCGACUUAGCGUUUCCCGUUUAGAAGUGCUGGGAUUUGAACUCAUGACCUACUGAGCAGUAGACCAACACCUCAACCAUUGAGCUACCACUGCCGUAGGUUGCCAAGAAGUAUAGUUAAGCAGUGAAAUGUGUCAUAGCGAGCGAACAGUGGGUAAAAUCACAUGGCCUUUGAUUUCAUCUGGCAGUUUCCUUCCUCAAACACACACACACACACACACACACAAUCACAGAACCUGCACCUGACUGCUCUGAAAGCUUGUUUGCUCCUCGAUGGAUUUGCGCAUGUGUGUGUUUGCUCUCUACCCCUCUAUGUGGCCACUGAGACACAUGUUGACGCACUGCAAUAGAAUAAAGAAGAAAAAAAAACCCUGAUAAAACACAGGAAAAAAAAAGAACGAGAGAUUUCCUGCAAAUACACUUUCACCUCGGAGGAUUCGGGGUCUCUCUGUGAAAAUCCUCCACUUCCUGUAGCGCUGUAGGAAAAGCAGAGCUGCCGGUUGGUACCGCGAUUAAUCUGGCAUUGAGCUGACGUGCUGUAAUAGCAUACUUCACUCCCUUGAGCAUGAGCGAGACACGGGAAGGGGAACGAGAGGACGUGGACACGCCCGUAUUUGUCUUAGCACAGCUCCAGGUUCGGGGCUUUCACAAAAGUCGGUGAAAAAUGUCAAAUCCUUUUAUAACGAUGUCGAAGACAUUUUCACAGUAUGCAGGACAUAUCACAAAGUUUCAUUAUGCAAAUAAGAUUAACAAACACGUUCCACCUGUUACAAUAGCAUUUAGGAGUUCUAGCCUAGUUGUGUGUUUCGGGUAUGUAGCAUUAAAUUGAAAGAAGCCCUGGGCUGGGUAGCAGAAGCCCAGGGCUGCAUGGAUAUAACCUGAGGCUGGACUGGGGAAGCACUGCGCGGCACGGUUGAAGGCCCAAGUCUGGAAAGAAGAAGCAACUGACUGGAUGGAAGGACCCUCAACGUGAAAGAAAGAAGCCACAGGCUGGACAGGAGAAAAUCUGGAGUGGAGAGAACUUGUCUCGGAUUGCACAAAUCGAGCCCAGGUCUGCAUGGAAGAAGCUCGGGCUGGUCAGACGAAACCCCAGGGUGGAUGGAAGGAGUCCCAAGAUGGACAUAAGAAUCCCUAGGCUGCACAAAUAGAGCCCGAGUCUGGAUAAAAAAGGCUUGCACAAUAGGGUUGCACAAUAGAAGCCCUGGGCUGGACAGAAAAAGCCCCAGUCUAGACAUAGACGGGAAGAGCACAUGGAUCAAUGGGAGAAACCCUAGGGUGGGUGGAAGAAGUAACGGCUUCUUACGUCCAUCUCGGGGUUUCUUUCGCCCAAAUUGUGGCCCAGCUUCUGAACUCUAGGGAUUCUGUCCUCCAGUCCUGAGGUUCUUAUGUCCAGCCUGGCACUUUGCUCUAUUCCAAGGAUCUUCUGUCCAGCAUGAGGCUUUCUCCCUCUAUUUCUGAGAUAGUCGGGAACUUCGUCUGUCAACCCAGGGCUUCUUCCCUCCCGCCUCGACUUGUCCUUUCCCUUUCCAAAACCACAUCCCCAAAAACACAUGGCUAGAAUGCCUAAAUGCUAGUGAAAGAGGAGAUUUUGUCAUUUUUUUUUCAAUUAAGAGACAGUCUGAUCGACAGGUAAGUCCUGAUCCGUUUGAUUUUGGUGAUCCAUAUAAUGUGCGUUUCUUUACUUUAACAGAGCCCGAGGCAUCACAGCGACCAGAGCUUCUCCUCGGGUACUAGAGGUACUACAGAUACCUACAGUACUCUCAGAUAAGCAGAUUUAUCAUGAUAUUAAUAGGACAUGUUCAUAUCACCCUGUAUGACAUAUGACAUGGCACAGCAACGCCCUCGUCUCGUCACCCGGUGUCCGGCUGUGCCUGAGCGACACAAGCGAGGGGCCUUUGUCCUGAGCAAAAACAACACUGAUGAAAGAGACACAAACAUAAGGAGCUUUAUGGGCGGCAGGCACAAGGCUGGCUUUGUUCUGAGGUGCGAGGCUGAGCCCACUCCAGCACGUGGGAGCGAGUGAAAUGCUCUACGGAGGAGAAGAAAGAGAUGGAGGAGGACGGAGAAGUCGGAGUCAGAGCAGAACUUGGUUUAGUGUUACUUUACAGAUCCUAGACCCUGUGAUCUAUUCAUGUCUCAUACUGGACCUAAUCCGGCCCUGAAGGCUGAACACAUCCACAGGCGUGUGAAAUGACACUGCACAAAGAAACUGCAUACUUAUAGUACAGAAAGAAGCUUGCUUUUAGGCUUUUGAGAUUUGGAAUCAGGAUCUCCAAGCGACUGAUCUUUAAUAGACUGAUCUUCGACAGAGUGUUACGGUUUAGCGGACAUUUUUGGCCAAUAGCAAUGAGAUUUGGGACGUGACGUGUUCUCCUGGCUAACACGUUGCCACUAUGUCCUGAGAUCAGGCCCUGAUGAUCACCUGGCCCGUCCUCACAUGUAUCAGCUCAGCAGCUCAUGCUGGGAUAAAAAUAUCCCCUAUAGAAGGACAACGAGGAAACUCGAGCCCGCGUGCUAAAUGUCACAAACAAAAGGCUGCCUGUUCGGACAGUAAAGCAAGACGGAGGCUAUAUGCAGGUUUCGGGAAAAUAACGACUCCUAUCAGACUAGGAGAAAUCUUGUCAUCUGAGAUUUGACGAGAGAACGAAAUCCCUUGAGAAGGGCAUCCCUUCCAGCCUGCAUGAUCCUAUGACCACACCCAUCAUCUGAAGCUGGUGUAGCACAACAGUAUGGAAGCCGAGGAAGCCUGGGAGGUCCGUGUUGGGAUUCUGGGAUAUCAGAUUUGUCUCAGCUGAUCUCCAGGAGCUUGGCUGUAAUAAAAUCAAACUGCACAUCCAAGCAUCGAAGCGUAGCCUUGCACCAUUGUUGACAAGCUCGCUACGAAAUCACGUGACUGCACACAGUCGAGUUGUUUUCCAAGCUCGGCGUUUUUUGAUGAAGCUGAGACGAGAGGAGGUGGAUGGCAUGGAGACAUGAUUGAUGAGGAUUCCAGGAAUCAUUCAUAACUAUAUAGGCCGCCGUGGGUUGAGUAAUAAAGAAGUCUGACACACACAUACAGAUUUAAUGAGAACCCCUGUGGUGAGUCACUUAGCAACACACAUCUCCAACUCUUGGAUUUAGAGUGAUUCUUCUUCUCAGAGUCUAUCCCAAAACGGAGGGAAUAUAUCAAGUGCCUGAGGCACACAGAGGCUCUUUGAGGGAAGGUUUUGGUACACCACAGUGGUCUCAAGACCUGAGUUUUAUCUAGGCCAGAGCAGAUCACAUUACACUGGCAGCUUUCCAGCCUCAACAACCAAUAAAGCAAGAUUGCUGAAGAGGUUAUGGGCAGGUGAAGCCACACUUCUUUCAGUCUCAAUAAGAUCAGCCAGAUACAAACAGACAUGAGCUCUGAAAGUGAAAUGCUUACCACUCGACUAUUCGGGAGUUUUUGUUAAAAAGCCAACGUUUAAAAGGAAGGGAAACGGCAUACGAAAUAUCACAUGCGAUUUCAGACGAGCAGAUCUGAUCUGAUUCCCAUCAACAAAUGGCCAGUCAGGGAAAGCAGACACAAAAGAGGCACUUAAUGAAACCUGAUCUGCAUGCAUUCUCCUGCAGGAAUUAAAAAGGAAGAAGAAGAAGAAGAAGAAGAAAAAGAGGGGAGAAGAGGGGGGAAUUAAACCUGGCUCAGAGAGGCGAAAUGGGACUAGCUAGGGAUGCACCGGUCCAAUACAGAGGACACUAUUGGGGCCAAUACUCAGCAACAGAAGUUUGCCAAUGGUUAUCAUGGUUAGAAGGAUAGGGGUUAAGUCUCUUGUGUAAUGCCCUUAACCCUUUCUGAUCCAGGGGUGCUAUAUCACAGCUGGCCCUGUGCUCUGUCCACCACUUCCUAUGAAGAAUUUCACUAUACUGUUUUCAUACGUGGCACAUUGAAGACUUUCUUCAGUUUGCAUCUCAUCAUUUGGCUCGACACGUUCAUCCAAAGUGACUUGCAAUUAACACAGAAACCAUACCAACAGCUGAGGAAUAAAGGCAUUGCUGAAGUGCCCAUCGCUGACAGAUUACCACUGCUGGUAUUUGAUUUCAUCACCUUCUGACCAGCAGCCCACCGCCUUAACCACUGAUCUACUACUGCCUACACUGCCUGCAGUCUUCCAUCUUUCCUCUAACAAGGUCAACAUUGGGUAUCACAUGAUACUCCGACUCAUAUCCGAAAUAGUGGUUAGAAAAUGGAUUCUUCGGACCGGUGAAUGGUUUGCAUUUAAAACCUAACGAGAAGACGAAACGACAUGUAUUCCAGACGACUAACAGAUGAUUGGUCAGCCAUGGCUCCAGAUACAGGACUAAUCACUGCCUGGACUCAACAAUUUGAGAUUAUGUUUACAUUACAAGCUUCGUUGCACAAUUCAGAUGUUUUGCUCAGAUGGGUUCAAAUUUGCAGCUGCAAAUAACCUACAUCUGUCUUUCCUGGAAUCAACUGAUAUCAAAUUUGCGUGAAUCACAUGCGUCAGGAAAACAAAAACAUCUUACAUGUGAGGCCAUCCAUCAUAUUAGAAGCAAGAGACGGACGCACUAGUAACCCAAGCCUGCUCUGCAAUCUGAAGAUCAGCAGGUACCCUUUGAUGUUUUUGCAACUAUUGCAUGUACUGCUGUGCCUAGAGGGUGCUGUGGGUACAGGAGAGGAGCCAGCGAUGGUCUGACCGUGAUGUAGACCGAUUUCUGUGGGAGAGCACGCACUUCUUUGGCAUUGGAACCCCGUUUGUUUUGGGCCAUGUGUUGUCAUUUCUUGGGCAACUGUUUUGUACACUACUAAUUUCCCGAAAUAUCAAGUAAACCUCCAAUUUCAUUAUCCGGCCCCUACAUGUAGUCACUGCUGCUGCCGUCCUGUAUUGCUGACACUGAGUGGUAAUGACAGUGAUGCACACUAGGACCCUAUCCAAAAAAAAAAGUGGCCCAGUUCUGAUUUGGAAAGAUUGGAUUUUUUGUAUCCUGGGAAAGAAAAGAAAAAAAAAUCUAAUCUAAUUGACACCCAGCCAGAGUUUCUGAUCUCAACACUACUGAGAAACCUCUAAAAUAAUAUCAGUUGUGAAGGUGUAAUUGAGCCGCUGUAGCGAGGUAAUUUCCCCAGUGUGGGAUCAAUAAAGUUUAUCUUAUCUUAAUACGGUGGAACUGUUGUGUUUGUGUAAUUUGCACCUGACAACACUUAAAUGGCCAAAAGUGGCAGCUCUUGGAUUUAAACUCUCAAUGUUUCAUCCUGGCCAAAACAAAACCCAUGUGACUGGGCACUUUUUACUGCACGGUACUAUAUGCACACGCAUAACUGGUCUCAGCUCAGCCAAAGGUACACGUAGUGCCGAGGUCAUAAAAACCAUGUCCGAAGCAAGAAUAAUGUCUUCCUGAUGGGAAAAGGGCAAAACUGGGCCUCAAGUGUUCGGCAGAAAAAUAUCAAAAUUCAACUCGUAUCCCAAACGACGGACAAAAGCAGAUUAUACUCGUUCGACACGGCGGCCUAGCUGUAAAAAUCGUUACUGUAAUGUGCGAUCGGCCGUCAGAUAAUCGCAAGCUGCAGGCGAAGCUGGACUCUGUCCACUGGAAUGGAGGUUAUCUAAUGACCUGGCUCACAGCGGCUGCACGGGAAACUCGACUGACCCCGGAACAAAUGAACCGAUGCGGAGGAUCGCUGACGGUAUACCGGGGGACGAGGUGCGUCCGUGGUCUCGUCCGCAGUCGCCUCUAUAAACGCGCAGCUAGAGCUAAAGAGCUCAGAGAGCUGCCAAGUACACAAGCAGAUUCAGAUCCAAACACGCCGGGCACGAACGGUCUGUUAGUACGGAGGGAACGAGUUGAGAAGGGGAUGAAUUGGUACCAGACGGAGGAGGAGAAAUCCGAUCCACAGAAAUAAGGAAUCCUCCACAGAUGACAAAUGUUUCACAAAACAAUUUUUUUUUUACAGUCUGGUUCUUUUUUUUUUUUUUUCCCUUUUUUCUACAGUCGAGGAUAGCGAGCCAGUCAGAGAUUAGAGGGGGGGAGGGUAAAACCCCGAGGCAGGAACUGAAAAUACAAGUAAACUUUCCACAACACCAGUUGUUUCACAUCAUGUUCUUCUUCCUGGUAUCAAAAGAGGAGAUUUUACUAGUUAUACAUGUUAUAACCAGGAGCGAAAAGGGAGAAGAAAACAUCUAGCCGUGAUGCUGGUUUGGUAGAAGAAGGAAGGAAACCGCAGUAGCAACCGCCUGAUGGUGACAUGUGACGAAGCAUCAAAGAGCCUCAGAUCAACUGAAAUGAAGAGUUUUUAGGAUUUCAGAACAAGAUGGAGUCGAGUAAAAUUCCGAAUUCGUGCCAGAACCCGUGACGCCGGACGUCCCGUCGGGACCUCGGGCACGUUUUUAGCAGGAGAGAGACCAACAUCACUUCGAUUGUAAUCUGCUUUUGGCAACUCCAGCAUUCGAUGAGCAAUCCUAAGGAUUUACAUUUCGAACUUUUAUCUUCCUUUCUUUCUUUCUUUCUUUUGAGUGAUUCUCAAAUCUGACUGGUCAGAAGGCGUUAACGCGUUCUAACAUCUACUAAUACGUAUAUAUAUCGUUUCUAUAGUAACGGCUCGUUCACAGGGACUUACAGUACAGUAUAGACGAUCUACUGUACACGAUCUACGACUGGUUAAAUGUUGUUUUUUUUGCAGUGUUUGUAAUAUUAUGGAAAUGUUUGUGUCCCUGACGCUGAACACCGCUGUAAUUUUGUACUGACGUGUAAAAGUUUCAAAACACUGACGAGGUUUACACGGACGGCGGUGAUCUAAUUAACGACCUUAUUCUGAAUGAGACAAUAUUCUGAUUAAGGUGUUUACAUGAGUCGCUUUUAGAAUACUCCGUUCAUGUUCCUGUUUUACGUGUUAGAGAACAUCGAUCGAUUAACCGCACACGUCAUCACGUCACCCCG
ensembl:lncRNA